UCCUCCAUAGCUCAGUGGUUAGAGCGUCCAACCGGCACCUGGAAGGUCAUGGGUUCGAUUUCCGUUGGGGAGCUGAG
rnacentral:tRNA from 1 species